rnacentral:lncRNA from 1 species
CUCAAGUUGCUGCAGAUAAAUCUGGGAAGUGAAGAAAUACUAGAAACUUCCUUAAGUAGUUUAAGUAAACUCCUUUACUGAGAAGGUCUUAGAAACCCUUCCCUUUGCUGCGCUCCGAAAAUCGCAACCUUGCUGGGCUUCUGGUUGCCGAUCUAGUUUUUGCCCUCCCGCUUCUUCAUUAGGUCCUUGAGAGAGCUGUGAAACACAGAUCUAUCCUGUUCAGUGCUGCGGGCCCGCGCUCUGGAAAGUUUCUGCAUUUCUUUGAGCGGCUGCUUUCCCCACCGAGUUUCCCGGGGCCCGGGCACCCGCAGCCCUCCUCUCUCUGCAGAACGUGAGGGGCGUGAGCAGUCGGGCGGUGGGCUCGUCUCUCCCCGGCUGCUGCCCAUGCAGCCAUCUCUCAUUCUCCUCUCCCUAGUGAGCCCUUCUGGAAGAAAUUGGGCCCUAAGUGUGGUCUCAGCUCUCUCAAGUGAUGGGGAGCCUUGGAGAUGGUUUGAGAACCAAGUUCUGCACGCUAGUAUCCAUUCUCCCAACUGAUAAUGACGCUUCAGUUGCCCGUAAGGAAGACCCUCCUUCCCCCAUUGGAUACAACCUUACUUCGACUGUUACUCAAGGUGUCCUACCCUCCUCUGGCCAGUGGCUCUUUUUGGAAAAUUCCCUACGAGAACCGAAAUUUAAACCCAUUUACUUUAUAAGAAGCAGCAGAAAGGUCGCUCUUCCCAGUCUUCAUGCACCUGCAGGGCUGUCAACACUGGGAGGACUGGAAGAAAUUUGUAAAGAGUCUGGGAGUCUUCAGAGAGGAAAAGAGUGCAGACCUGGACUCCUCCUUUUCCAAUGUCUUUAUUAUUAGAAGGUUUUCUAUGCAUUGAGCCGGUUCUGAUUAAGAAAGGAUCUAAUAAGAAGGAACAUUGAAGACCUUAAGCUGUUAGCCCUGCUGUGGCCGGCAUUACCCGAUGGGACAGGCUAUCCGGUCAUGGGCACGACUGGAGGCAGAAGGCCCUCCUGACCCGGCCACUGUGCUCUGUAAACUAAAAAGCUGUUGGCGCGGAUGCCAUGUCUUACCUCUGAGGAGCAGGCUGCUUCUCUCUUGACGAAUCGCUGUGGCCACUAUUGGAAUCUGCAACAGCAAAGGCCAGCGCACACCAGGCGAAAAGGUCACCCUGGCCUGUGGGGGAUCCGUUUUCAUCAGUAAACGGUGCCAGGAGCAGAACACCAGCAGCCUUCAGCUUGUAUUCUCUCAGACUCUCUGGUUUUCUCCCUCUGAGGUGGAUCAAGAGGCCCCCAGAGUUUUUGAACAAUUUGAUAGACAAGAGAGACCUUGGACUCCCUGCUAGUCUGGCAAUUGAGAAGUGGUUUUAAUUUGGAAAAAAUAACAGAUGUUAUGACCUGAGAAGACUGAAUGUAUUUUCUUGUGGUCUUGUGCUUUGCAGUUUUGAAUAUAUAGUUUAGAUCAAUAAAGAUAUAUUAAUGGAAGAAUAUCAAGUUUUGUGAUUCUUUAUGAUUCCUGCAUCUUUUUCUUCUUUGUCAGCUUGUAUCCAUUUUUAAAAGACCUACCUCAAAAUUUCUCCUGUAAUAAGUAGUCAUCCUGGGG